UCCUGCGGGUGCCCUGCUGCGCUUGAGCAGGGGAUGGGGAAGGGCCCUUGGGGGUCUGUUUGGGACCAUUUACUGGAGGAAGAUGUGGCCCGCCUAUUGGUGACCGAAGCCUUGUAAGCACUCCUGUAGCCCGAGAGACGGGGGAACGUGUGACUCCUGGAUCGUCCGUUGUCGUCACGACGAGAUGACAUGUCGGUUUCAUUUCGGACUCUUCUGAAGGAGACUGAGCCGAGCAGUUGGGGCCUGGAGGCUGGUGGAAAGGCAUGAUUUGUUUCCUUAGGAAUUCCUUCUGUAGUACUUGGAGCUUUGUGGAUAAAGCACCAGUCAGAGCCGCCCUGUGGAAAUGGAGCGAAGAAUUGAAAUGUGAUUCCCAACCUGGAGUGGAUGCUCUUUUCACGCUCAGCUGGGUCUCUAACUUCUGAAAUAUUAAUCUGACAUAGGACGAGUACCAUCCAGGGAUGUGAAAAAUCCAGCCUGAGGCCCCAAACAGAGUGGGUCCUGCUCUCCGGGCAGAUCCAGAGCCCCUGGAGACGAAAACCUCGUAAGCCAACUGUAGACUCGGUGCUUUGCUGCAAGAGGAUUCAUUUGAGCUAUAAUAAAAAGUAGUGUGU